rnacentral:rRNA from 1 species
UGGGGAAUAUUGGACAAUGGGCGCAAGCCUGAUCCAGCAAUGCCGCGUGUGUGAAGAAGGCCUUCGGGUUGUAAAGCACUUUUAUCAGGAGCGAAACGCUGUCGGCUAAUACCCGGCGGAACUGACGGUACCUGAGGAAUAAGCACCGGCUAACUUCGUGCCAGCAGCCGCGGUAAUACGAAGGGUGCAAGCGUUAAUCGGAAUUACUGGGCGUAAAGCGUGCGUAGGCGGUUUCUUAAGUCUGCUGUGAAAUCCCCGGGCUCAACCUGGGAAUGGCAGUGGAUACUGGGAGGCUAGAGUGUGUCAGAGGGUGGUGGAAUUCCCGGUGUAGCGGUGAAAUGCGUAGAGAUCGGGAGGAACAUCAGUGGCGAAGGCGGCCACCUGGGACAACACUGACGCUGAGGCACGAAAAGCGUGGGGAGCAAACAGGAUUAGAUACCCUGGUAGUCCACGCCCUAAAACGAUGCGAACUGGAUGUUGGUCUCAACUCGGAGAUCAGUGUCGAAGCUAACGCGUUAAGUUCGCCGCCUGGGGAGUACGGUCGCAAGACUGAAACUCAAAGGAAUUGACGGGGUCAUAGCUGUUUCC